rnacentral:rRNA from 1 species
GAUGAACGCUAGCGGCAGGCUUAACACAUGCAAGUCGAGGGGCAGCAUAUUCUGCUUGCAGAAUGAUGGCGACCGGCGCACGGGUGCGUAACGCGUAUAGUACCUACCUUUUAGUAAGGGAUAGCCCAGAGAAAUUUGGAUUAAUACCUUAUAGUAUCAAAUAGCAACAUUGUUACUUGAUUAAAGAUUUAUCGCUAUUAGAUGGCUAUGCGUUCUAUUAGCUAGUUGGUAAGGUAACGGCUUACCAAGGCUACGAUAGAUAGGGGUCCUGAGAGGGAGAUCCCCCACACUGGUACUGAGACACGGACCAGACUCCUACGGGAGGCAGCAGUGAGGAAUAUUGGACAAUGGAGGCAACUCUGAUCCAGCCAUGCCGCGUGUAGGAAGACUGCCCUAUGGGUUGUAAACUACUUUUAUACAAGAAGAAUUUCAUUUACGUGUAUAUGUUUGACGGUAUUGUAGGAAUAAGGAUCGGCUAACUCCG